UGCAUAUCCAAAAAGCGGAGGAAAAGAAACUAACAAGGAUUCCCCUAGUAACUGCGAGUGAAGCGGGAAAAGCUCAAAUUUAAAAUCUGGUGGUCUUUGGCCAUCCGAGUUGUAAUCUAGAGAAGUGUCAUCCGCGCUGGACCGUGUACAAGUCCCCUGGAAUGGGGCGUCAUAGAGGGUGAGAAUCCCGUCUUUGACACGGACUACCAGGGCUUUGUGAUGCACUCUCAAAGAGUCGAGUUGUUUGGGAAUGCAGCUCAAAAUGGGUGGUAAAUUCCAUCUAAAGCUAAAUAUUGGCGAGAGACCGAUAGCGAACAAGUACCGUGAGGGAAAGAUGAAAAGAACUUUGGAAAGAGAGUUAAACAGUACGUGAAAUUGUUGAAAGGGAAACGCUUGAAGUCAGUCGCGUCAGCCAGGGAUCAACCUUACUCUUUUGUGUGGUGUACUUCCUGGUUGAUGGGUCAGCAUCAGUUUUGGUUGCUGGAUAAAGGUCAGAGAAAUGUGGCACCUCCGGGUGUGUUAUAGUCUCUGGUCAGAUACAGUGACUGGGACUGAGGAACUCAGCUCCGCAAGGAUGUCUUAGGAUGCUGGCAAAAUGGCUUUAAUCGACCCGUCUUGAAACACGGCAAAAGGGAGUCA
rnacentral:rRNA from 1 species